rnacentral:rRNA from 1 species
AAUGGCUCAUUAAAUCAGUUAUCGUUUAUUUGAUAGUACUUUACUACUUGGAUAACCGUGGUAAUUCUAGAGCUAAUACAUGCUGAAAACCUCAACUUCGGAAGGGGUGUAUUUAUUAGAUAAAAAACCAAUGCCUUUCGGGGCUCUUUGGUGAUUCAUGAUAACUUUUCAGAUCGCAUGGCCUUGCGCCGGCGACGGUUCAUUCAAAUUUCUGCCCUAUCAACUUUCGAUGGUAAGGUAUUGGCUUACCAUGGUUUCAACGGGUAACGGGGAAUUAGGGUUCGAUUCCGGAGAGGGAGCCUGAGAAACGGCUACCACAUCCAAGGAAGGCAGCAGGCGCGCAAAUUACCCAAUCCCGACACGGGGAGGUAGUGACAAUAAAUACUGAUACAGGGCUCUUUUGGGUCUUGUAAUUGGAAUGAGUACAAUUUAAACCUCUUAACGAGGAACAAUUGGAGGGCAAGUCUGGUGCCAGCAGCCGCGGUAAUUCCAGCUCCAAUAGCGUAUAUUAAAGUUGUUGCAGUUAAAAAGCUCGUAGUUGAACCUUGGGCCUGGCUGGCAGGUCCGCCUCACCGCGAGUACUUGUCCGGCCGGG